AGGCCAGCUGGCCGCGGUGGCCACAGCUCAGACCCGGGUCAGAUGACCAGCCUGGCCCUGAACAAGCUGCCCAUUCAGCAGAGCCUGCAGAGAGAGAGAAGCAGUGGUGGCUCUUCGGAGGACACAAUUUGGCCAGUUCGCAUCUGUCUGAUGCCUGGAAAAGAAGGACACCCAAGUGACAUAGGCUGUGUACCCCAUGGGCCAUCACCCCAGACUCACCUGGCCUGGACUCAGCUUCCCUGACAGAGUGCUUUUGGGAGGAAACCAAGUGCCACGGAGUCCAGCUGCUUCUCUGUGGCCGUGACCUCGAAGGAGUCUGGUCUUUGUUAUCCACACCAGAACCCGCCAUCACUCCAAGUCCGGCUCAGGGUGCUCAGCAGGGCUCCAGGUCGCGCAGCAGGCUGUGCUGCCCUGUCUUCGCCCCUGAAUUCGGG
rnacentral:lncRNA from 1 species